rnacentral:rRNA from 1 species
UUGACCUCGGAUCAGGUAGGGAUACCCGCUGAACUUAAGCAUAUCAAUAAGCGGAGGAAAAGAAAACCAACNA